UCCACGGUGGUUUCCGAUCCCUAUUCGCCGUCGAUUGAGAACCCUAGCACUAUAUUCGACGACUCAGGUGAUGAUCCGAAGAUGGUGAAGACGAGAUUAAGGCAGUGGGCGCAGGUGGUGGCUUGUGCGGUACGGCAAUCGGCUUCACCGAAAUCAUGAAUUGAUCCUUCUCCAUUCAAUUUUGUUGUUUACAGUCAAUUAUAAAUUUGAAUUUUUUUAUUUGAAUUA